AGUGAACGCUGGCGGUAGGCCUAACACAUGCAAGUCGAACGGCAGCACAGUAAGAGCUUGCUCUUACGGGUGGCGAGUGGCGGACGGGUGAGGAAUACAUCGGAAUCUACUUUUUCGUGGGGGAUAACGUAGGGAAACUUACGCUAAUACCGCAUACGCCCUACGGAUGAAAGCAGGGGAUCUUCGGACCUUGCGCGAUUGAAUGAGCCGAUGUCGGAUUAGCUAGUUGGCGGGGUAAAGGCCCACCAAGGCGACGAUCCGUAGCUGGCCUGAGAGGAUGAUCAGCCACACUGGAACUGGGACACGGUCCAGACUCCUACGGGAGGCAGCAGUGGGGAAUAUUGGACAAUGGGCGCAAGCCUGAUCCAGCCAUACCGCGUGGGUGAAGAAGGCCUUCGGGUUGUAAAGCCCUUUUGUUGGGAAAGAAAAGCAGCAGGUUAAUACCCCGCUGUUCUGACGGUACCCAAAGAAUAAGCACCGGCUAACUUCGUG
rnacentral:rRNA from 1 species